UACGAAGGGGGCUAGCGUUGCUCGGAAUGACUGGGCGUAAAGGGCGCGUAGGCGGUUUGGACAGUCAGAUGUGAAAUCCCCAGGCUUAACCUGGGAACUGCAUCCGAUACUGGAUGGCUUGAAUCCGGGAGAGGGAUGCAGAAUUCCAGGUGUAGCGGUGAAAUGCGUAGAUAUCUGGAGGAAUACCGGUGGCGAAGGCGGCAUCCUGGACCGGCAUUGACGCUGAGUGAGCGAAAGCUAGGGGAGCAAACGGG
rnacentral:rRNA from 1 species